GACGAACGCUGGCGGCGUGCUUAACACAUGCAAGUCGAACGGAAAGGCCCUGCUUGCCGGGUGCUCGAGUGGCGAACGGGUGAGUAACACGUGGGUGAUCUGCCCCUUACUUUGGGAUAAGCCUGGGAAACUGGGUCUAAUACUGGAUAGGACCAUGCUGUAGGUGGUGUGGUGGAAAGAUUAGUUUCGGUAAGGGAUGAGCUCGCGGCCUAUCAGCUUGUUGGUGGGGUAAUGGCCUACCAAGGCGUCGACGGGUAGCCGGCCUGAGAGGGUGGACGGCCACAUUGGGACUGAGAUACGGCCCAGACUCCUACGGGAGGCAGCAGUGGGGAAUAUUGCACAAUGGGCGCAAGCCUGAUGCAGCGACGCCGCGUGGGGGAUGACGGCCUUCGGGUUGUAAACUCCUUUCAGCCAUGACGAAGCCCUUGUGGUGGCGGUAGUGGUAGAAGAAGCACCGGCUAACUACGUG
rnacentral:rRNA from 1 species